rnacentral:rRNA from 1 species
GAUGAACGCUGGCGGCGUGCUUAACACAUGCAAGUCGAGCGGGCAAUUUAUCUAGCACUGAUUACUUCGAAUGGAAAUCAUAAGUGUAAUCAUGAAUUUCUACCUUUUAAUAAAGAAAAAAGAAAUUCAUGUACGCAAAUAGUGAUAACACAUUUUAGCGGAGUGAUGAGUGCUGGAUAAAUUGCUAGCGGCGGACGGGUGCGUAACACGUGGGUAACCUGCCCCUAUCACUGGGAUAACACACUGAAAAGUGUGCUAAUACCAGAUAAUAUAAGCUUUUGGCAUCAUUAGCUUAUCAAAGAAUUUCGGAUAGGGAUGGGCCCGCGUCUGAUUAGCUAGUUGGUGAGGUAACGGCUCACCAAGGCAACGAUCAGUAGCCGACCUGAGAGGGUGAUCGGCCACACUGGAACUGAGACACGGUCCAGACUCCUACGGGAGGCAGCAGUGGGGAAUAUUGCACAAUGGGCGAAAGCCUGAUGCAGCAACGCCGCGUGAGCGAUGAAGGCCUUCGGGUCGUAAAGCUCUGUCCUAUGGGAAGAUAAUGACGGUACCAUAGGAGGAAGCCCCGGCUAACUACGUGCCAGCAGCCGCGGUAAUACGUAGGGGGCAAGCGUUAUCCGGAAUUACUGGGCGUAAAGGGUGCGUAGGCGGUUUAUCAAGUCAGGGGUGAAAGGCUACGGCUCAACCGUAGUGAGCCUCUGAAACUGGUGAACUUGAGUGUAGGAGAGGAAAGUGGAAUUCCCAGUGUAGCGGUGAAAUGCGUAGAUAUUGGGAGGAACACCAGUGGCGAAGGCGACUUUCUGGACUACAACUGACGCUGAGGCACGAAAGCGUGGGGAGCAACAGGAUUAGAUACCCUGGUAGUCCACGCUGUAAACGAUGAGUACUAGGUGUCGCUGUCAAGUCGGUGCUGCGUACACAUUAGUACUCGCUGGGAGUACGCUCGCAGAUGAAACUCAA